GGGGUUGACCGGUUUUGACAGCGGGCAGAAGUGGUUUGUAAGCAUGCAGUGCGUCGUUGUCCGGCACUCUAAUCACGGAUGAUAAAAUUCAACUGGCGAAAAUAAUUACGCUCUCGCUGCUUGAUCGAAGUAUAGUAGAUCUUAAGCUUUAUUCCUUCUCCAGGAGUUGGAACGAGACAUCACCCGGAGCUGUGGCUUCGAAGCGAUCCGAUCAGGUGGUGCAGCUAUAUCGGAGAUAGUCUGAAGGAAGUCCCGGACUUUAGAUGAAAUUCAGGGAAUAAGCCCAACAUUGGUGGCCUCAGUCUUGUGUUGAGUCGAAAAAUAAAGUGAGGAUAAGCAUGUAGAAAGCAAAUUAAUUCCUCGUUUGGACGAGGGUUCGAAUCCCUCCAGCUCCACC
rnacentral:tmRNA from 1 species